rnacentral:siRNA from 1 species
AAGUGGAUGAAGCAUAGCGGUUU